rnacentral:rRNA from 1 species
ACGUACCGGACAAACGUUAUUCGGAAUCACUGGGCUUAAAGAGUACGUAGGCUGUCUUGUAGGUGAGGUGUGAAAUCCCACGGCUCAACCGUGGAACUGCGCUUCAAACCACAAGACUUGAGGGAGACAGGGGUAAGCGGAACUGAUGGUGGAGCGGUGAAAUGCGUUGAUAUCAUCAGGAACACCGGUGGCGAAGGCGGCUUACUGGGUCUCUUCUGACGCUGAGGUACGAAAGCUAGGGUAGCGAACGGG